rnacentral:rRNA from 1 species
AUUGAACGCUGGCGGCAGGCUUAACACAUGCAAGUCGAGCGGGGUGAUGGUGCUUGCACUAUCACUUAGCGGCGGACGGGUGAGUAAUGCUUAGGAAUCUGCCUAUUAGUGGGGGACAACAUCUCGAAAGGGAUGCUAAUACCGCAUACGUCCUACGGGAGAAAGCAGGGGAUCACUUGUGACCUUGCGCUAAUAGAUGAGCCUAAGUCGGAUUAGCGAGUUGGUGGGGUAAAGGCCUACCAAGGCGACGAUCUGUAGCGGGUCUGAGAGGAUGAUCCGCCACACUGGGACUGGGGCACGGCCCAGACUCCUACGGGAGGCAGCAGUGGGGAAUAUUGGACAAUGGGGGGAACCCUGAUCCAGCCAUGCCGCGUGUGUGAAGAAGGCCUUAUGGUUGUAAAGCACUUUAAGCGAGGAGGAGGCUCUUUUGGUUAAUACCCAAGAUGAGUGGACGUUACUCGCAGAAUAAGCACCGGCUAACUCUGUGCCAGCCGCCGCCGUAA